GCUAUUCUAGGUUACAGUAGUCAACAUGACAGACAUGUUUAGGAAGACCUGAAGCCGGGUGCUUCUAUGGCAUUUACAUCCUGAGAGUCGAGUGAUUAACUCUUCAAUCUUUACGGUCCUUCUAGCACCAUCAGAUCUGCUGCAACAAAUGGCCUGAACAUUAGGACAACUUUGCAUCUCAACCCUUCUGGGCAACAUAUCCAAGUGGGGCUAAUUUUGAAACAAUCUAGGCAUGAAGUCCCUACAGAAUCCUCCUGCUUAGGGGGAGUUGUGAACAAUUAAUCCACCAUCAUCUGGUUGAAGUCAAGAUAACACCAACCAGACCUCCAGAUGGGCAAUUACCCAAGACAGCCAUUGGAACAAGACAUACAGACCCUGCAGCCUGCACCACUCCCAUGUCUCCCAUACCAAGUUUCCCUUUAAAAAUCCUGUAGUAAGUUUUAAAACUUGAGGUGGUACCUUAGAAUGCUAGUUCACCAUCUUCUCGGUUUGCUGGCUUCCCGAUGAAAACCUGCUUUUUCUCCCACCAAACCUCACUUUUUGUAUUCGGCUUUCAAGUGGCAAGCAGCUGACCCUGGGUUCAGUUACAAGCUAAUACAAAGAAAUGCUCAGAAUGUGGCCGAGAGAGGAUGCAGGCCAGGCACAAUAACUCGUGCCUGUAACCUUAGAACUUUAGGAGGCCAAGACAGGAGAAUUGCUUGAGGCCAGGAAUUCAAUAUCAGCCUGGGCAACAUAGUGAGACCCAGUAUCU